CCCCUAGAUGUUCUGGGCCGCACGCGCGCUACACUGAACAGUUCAACAAGUCUUAACCUUGGCCGAUAGGUCUGGGUAAUCUUUGAACGCUGUUCGUGAUUGGGAUAGACCUUUGCAAUUAUGGGUCUUCAACGAGGAAUUCCUAGUAAACGCAAGUCAUCAGCAUGCAUUGAUUACGUCCCUGCCCUUUGUACACACCGCCCGUCGCACCUACCGAUUGAAUGGUCCGGUGAAAUCUCGGGACGGCGGCUUGGUCGCUUGCGUCCGACUGCUGAAACUUGAUUAAACCAUAUCAUUUAGAGGAAGGUGAAGUCGUAACA
rnacentral:rRNA from 1 species